rnacentral:rRNA from 1 species
GACGAACGCUGGCGGCGUGCCUAAUACAUGCAAGUCGACCUUAGUUGCUAACUGGUGAGUAACACGUGGGUAACCUGCCCAUCAGAAGGGGAUAACACUUUGAAACAUGUGCUAAUACCGUAUACUGCUAGAUGGACCCGCGGUGCAUUAGCUAGUUGGUGAGGUAACGGCUCACCAAGGCCACGAUGCAUAGCCGACCUGAGAGGGUGAUCGGACACAUUGGGACGGAGACACGGUCUAGACUCCUACGGGAGUCAGCAGUAGGGAAUCUUAGGCAAUGGACGAAAGUCUGAUCGAGCAACGCCGCGUGAGUGAAGAAGGUUUUCGGAUCGUAAAACUCUUUUGUUAGAGAAGCGGUAUCUAACCAGAAAGCCACGGCUAACUACGUGCCAGCAGCCGCGGUAAUAC